CCACACACGAUCCAAGAUCGACACAAUAUGUGAACCUUUGAACGUAUAUUGAUCUCUUAACCGGGAUCGAUAUUUCGUUCAUUACCAACACCUUUAAACAAAAUGAUUAUGCAUUGGAACUAAAUGUUAUUUCAAGUUUGUCUUGAUUUAACGACUAGAAAUUAAUUGUAAAA
rnacentral:misc_RNA from 1 species